rnacentral:rRNA from 1 species
CUAACAAGGAUCCCUUAGUAACUGCGAGUGAAGAGGGAAAAGCUCAAAUUUAAAAUCUGGCAGUGUUUCACUGUCCGAGUUGUAACCUAGAGAAGUGUAACCUGCGCUGGACCGUGUAUAAGUCUCCUGGAAUGGAGCAUCACAGAGGGUGAGAAUCCCGUCUUUGACAUGGACUACCAGUGCAUUGUGGUUGCGCUCUCAACGAGUCGAGUUGUUUGGGAAUGCAGCUCUAAAUGGGUGGUAAAUUCCAUCUAAAGCUAAAUAUUGGCGAGAGACCGAUAGCGAACAAGUACCGUGAGGGAAAGAUGAAAAGAACUUUGGAAAGAGAGUUAAACAGUAUGUGAAAUUGUUGAAAGGGAAACGUUUGAAGUCAGUCGCGUUGGUUGGGGAUCAGCCUGACAUUGUUGGGUGUACUUCCUGGUCGACGGGCCAACAUCAGUUUUGACUGCCAGAAAAAGGCCAAAGGAAUGUGGCACCUUUGGGUGUGUUAUAGCCCUUGGUCGUAUAUGGUGGUUGGGACUGAGGAAAGCAGCGUGCCGAAAGGCCGGGUUUCGACCACGUUCACGCUGAGGAUGUUGGCAUAAUGGCUUUAAGCGACCCGUCUUGAAACACGGACCAAGGAGUCUAACAUGCAUGCGAGUGUUUGGGUGGAAAACCCUUACGCGUAAUGAAAGUGAAAGUUGAGAUCCCUGUCGCGGGGAGCAUCGACGCCCGGACCAGAACUUUUGGGACGGAUCUGCGGUAGAGCACGUAUGUUGGGACCCGAAAGAUGGUGAACUAUGCCUGAAUAGGGUGAAGCCAGAGGAAACUCUGGUGGAGGCUCGUAGCGAUUCUGACGUGCAAUCGAUCGUCAAUUUGGGUAUAGGGGCG